AGCAUGCUGUGUUAUGCCAAUCCAGUGCCUUGUCAGCGUGGCAGACAGCUGUAGUUAGAAUACAAGGCUUCUUGUUCCACCCACCCCCUCAUAUCUCAGGUUUUAUUCUACUUGUUUGAGCAGUGGACACAUUCCUGCCAGUCUAGGUGUCUUAAUUUAAUUUGGGCACAGACUAUAUAAAAUUGAACAGAUAUCUGAAAGCAGUGAAGAGAAGACCAUAAAAUGAACCAUGUGCUCAGCUUCAUUUGAACCAAGCAAUGCUGUAUUUUUUUUGUCCCCAUUGCCACAAAAGUCACACGUAACUUGGAGGUGUGUGACAAGAGGAUCCAGCAUGGGGAGAGGAGGAAACUAGGAGGUGGUAGCCUUGGGAUGAUAACUGAAGUGAAACACAAGACUACCAAAGAAUGAGCCAUUAAAAAAACUUCAGGAAAAGAUGUCGCCGUGCCUGCCUGAAGCUGCCUGGCUU